AGCCCCGAGGUGAAUUUUCAUGUCGAAUUGCAAAUUCGAAGGCGCAGCUUCAAUCCUGCCGGGGCUU
rnacentral:tRNA from 1 species